AACGAACGCUGGCGGCAUGCCUAACACAUGCAAGUCGAACGAGACCUCCGGGUCUUGUGGCGCAUGGCUGCGUCGCGCGUGGGAACCUGCCCUUAGGUUCGGAAUACCUCCCCGAAUGGGGUGCUAAUACCGGAUAAUGUCUUAGGACCAAGGAUUUAUUGCCUUUGGUUGGGCCGGCGUUGGAUUAGCUAGUGAGUAGGGUAAAAGCUUACUAAGGCGACGAUGCAUAGCUGGUCUGAGAGGAUGAUCACCCACUCUGGGACGGGGACACGGCCCAGACUCUUACGGAAGGGAGGAGAGGGGAAUAGUGGACCACCGGCGAAGGGCUGAUCGAGCAAUGCCGGGUGAGUUAUGAAGGCAGUAGAGAAGUAAUGCUCUUUUACCCGGGAAGAUAAUGACGGUACCGGGAGAAUAAGCCCCGGCUAACUACGUG
rnacentral:rRNA from 1 species